rnacentral:snRNA from 2 species
GUCCCUUCGGGAACAUCGAUAAAAUUGGAAUAAUACAGAGAAGAUUAGCAUAGUCCCUGCGCAAGGAUGACAUGCACAAAUCUAGAAAUGAUCCAAAUUUCU